GAAANUCCNCNCGNCUCNUCCUNGAANCGCAUUUCGAACNGNCAAGCNUAGAGUCUNCNGAGGGGGGUAGAAUUCCNGNUGUANCGGUGAAAUGCGUAGAGAUCUGNAGGAAUACCGGNGGCGAAGCGGCCNCCCUGGANGAAGACUGACGCUCAGGUGGAAAGCGUGGGGAGCAAACAGGAUUANAUACCCUGGUAGUCCACGCUGUAAANGAUGUCGAUUNGGAGGUNGUGCCCUUGAGGCGUGGCUUCCGGAGCUAACGCGNUAAAUCGACCGCCUGGGGAGUACGGCCGCAAGGUUAAAACUCAAAUGAAUUGACGGGGGNCCGCACAAGCGGUGGAGCAUGUGGUUUAAUUCGAUGCAACGCGAAGAACCUUACNUACUCUUGACAUCCAGAGAACUUAGCAGAGAUGCUUUGGUGCCUUCGGGAACUCUGAGACAGGUGNUGCAUGGCUGUCGUCAGCUCGUGUUGUGAAAUGUUGGGUUAAGUCCCGCAACGAGCGCAACCCUUAUCCUUUNUUGCCAGCGGUUCGNCCGGGAACUCAAAGGAGACUGCCAGUGAUAAACUGGAGGAAGGUGGGGAUGACGUCAAGUCAUCAUGGCCCUUACGAGUAGGGCUACACACGUGCUACAAUGGCAUAUACAAAGAGAAGNGACCUCGCGAGAGCAAGCGGACCUCAUAAAGUAUGUCGUAGUCCGGAUUGGAGUCUGCAACUCGACUCCAUGAAGUCGGAAUCGCUAGUAAUNGUAGAUCAGAAUGAUACGGUGAAUACGUUCCCGGGCCUUGUACACACCGCCCGUCACACCAUGGGAGUGGGUUGCAAAAGAAGUAGGUAGCUUAACCUUCGGGAGGGCGCUACUACUUUUAUCNNCUUUUAUCNNGACU
rnacentral:rRNA from 1 species